rnacentral:tRNA from 1 species
AAGUUAAUAAAUAAAUUUUGUAAAUUUAUUUUUUUGCAAACUUAUUUUCUUUAUCUUU